rnacentral:rRNA from 1 species
GAUGAACGCUGGCGGCGUGCCUAAUACAUGCAAGUCGAGCGAAUGGAUUAAGAGCUUGCUCUUAUGAAGUUAGCGGCGGACGGGUGAGUAACACGUGGGUAACCUGCCCAUAAGACUGGGAUAACUCCGGGAAACCGGGGCUAAUACCGGAUAACAUUUUGAACCGCAUGGUUCGAAAUUGAAAGGCGGCUUCGGCUGUCACUUAUGGAUGGACCCGGGUCGCAUUAGCUAGUUGGUGAGGUAACGGCUCACCAAGGCAACGAUGCGUAGCCGACCUGAGAGGGUGAUCGGCCACACUGGGACUGGAACACGGCCCAGACUCCUACGGGAGGCAGCAGUAGGGAAUCUUCCGCAAUGGACGAAAGUCUGACGGAACAACGCCGCGUGAGUGAUGAAGGCUUUCGGGUCGUAAAACUCUGUUGUUAGGGAAGAACAAGUGCUAGUUGAAUAAGCUGGCACCUUGACGGUACCUAACCAGAAAGCCACGGCUAACUACGUGCCAGCCGCCGCCAUAA